UCUGACACUUAACGAAAUUUUGAUUUCAGAUAUUCUCCGCCUGCCGACCAGCAACACAUCACUUUUCUCUCGCCUGAGGAGGCGAGAGGCCGAGGCCGGGGGAGCUAGGCCCCAGCCCCGGAAGAGGGCGAGGUCGGACGGCGCCUCCAGUUCAGCCGGCACGAGUGGCCCCGAGGCGGGGGCCCCUGCAGCCGACCCGAGGCGGGAGCGGGUCGUUAGUGAUGCGGGCCCGUCGGCCCCUCCUUGCCCUGCCCCCCUUGCCC
rnacentral:lncRNA from 1 species